UGCGUGACACAGGCCCCGGUGGUCAGGCCUCACCCUGACCACAGCCCCUGCUGUGUGACUAAUUGACAAGGACACAAUUAAGUGCUAAGGGGAGGGGGGCUGUGCAACUUGAUUCCUAAACAAAACACCUGAAUCCCAGAAGAUUACUGACCAAGAGACACUGGCAUUGCACUCCUAUUAAUGGUGAUCCCUAGCAUGAGCUUCCUGAGCUCUCCAGGGACUGCAGCAGGCUGCACCCCCUGUCUCCCCCAGCCUCUCAGGUCUGGCUCCUCGAGGAAUGAGCUUGUCCACAGACAAACGCUGAUGAGACAGGAGGAAGUUGGUUUGAUUUACUAGCAGAGCCAACAAAAUUGCUACGCGUGAACUCUGCAGAGACUGAAAGGGAGAGAUGAGCCUUGGAAAGGUCAUCCACCAAAGCGGUCUGCGACAUCAAAAAAUUGAAAAUUAGUGUGUAGCUGCAGCUAAUGGACCUUAAUACAUUUUGAAUUGUCCUACUGGGAGCAGGAAACAGUUGCAGAGGAUGGAUGAGAGUGAAGAUCCAGUCUGGUCAUGGCGAUGGAGGUUGGGUCAAGUUCUUUACGUUUAGUGCAUUGUCUCCAGGUCUUCCCAGCUCCAGCUGAAAUAGCUGUUAUGUCAUUAGGUGGUGCCAGUCGCUUCAGCAGCCUGGUUUGGUUGUCCGCGUUUGUGUUCUGGCUCAGCUGCAUGCAGACCUCCUUGAUGAAUAGCAGACUUCCAGCACAUACAAAUGGCCAACCAUUAUGCUCCCUUUAAAUGGCUUUCAGAUAAAUACAAAGGGAGGAGAUAAACGAUUUAACAAUAAAAUAUUUGCUCAUUUUUAAAGUUACCCGAAGUUCCAGGGAACUUCAGUGUAGUGGAAAGAAAGCCCAAGGAAAGCUCGCUUCACAGAAACCAUCACUUCUUGGAAGCUAAGCUCUCAAAACAGUUUCGUAUAAUAUUAAAUGUGUUAGAGGAAAUUCGGACGCUUGGGUUGAUGAGGUGAGGUGGUGGAGCUGGAGCAGC